CCUCACCGCCAAGGUCUACUUCCCGGCGUCCGACGCAUCGACUACUUCCGCUUCAACACGAAGACGACGACAUGGAUCCGAUGACCCCGGCUUCGACUACUUCCUCGACGUCGGCGACUCCCGCCGCUUCCACUCCGCCCCGGCGACCACUUUUGUUCCGGUAUGAAGUUAUGUUCGAUGAAGACGACGUUAGCGAGGUUACCCUUCCGGCUUGGCCUGGGCAGGGUUAUGGACGCCACUGGUUAUCUUCAGGACUCUUAGUCCAAUUUGUAUCUUGUCCGUACUCGGACGUAUUCGAUCUUCUGUACGAUUUGGAUCUUUGUAUUGUAUAUUUGUAUCUUGACUCGUUGGAGUCGUUGUUGUAAUAUAUGUUUCUUGUGGGCU